GCCCCGCGCACACACUGGAGAAUUGCGCAAAAUCAGCUGAUCACAACAUUCACACUCUGUGGUCAAGCUGCUGCAGUUUUAUUUACAACAAAGUGGAGUAAAAACACACAGUUGCAAACUUACUCAGGGUGUUAAUGGAAGAGUUUGAAAUCAGACAGAGAAAAUGUUACUCAAGUAAAAGUAGAAAGUAUUAUCAUCAAAAUAUAGUGAAAGUAGCGACAGUAA